rnacentral:rRNA from 1 species
GCAAGUCGAGCGAUAGAGCGACGAACGGGUGAGUAACACGUUGGAACCUACCCCGGACUCAGGGAUAGCCCACCGAAAGGUGGAUUAAUACCGGAUAGUCCCGCAAGGGUAAAGCUUUUGCGGUCCGGGAGGGGCCUGCGCAGUAUCAGCUUGUUGGUAGUGUAAUAGACUACCAAGGAUACGACGCUUAGUUGGUCUGAGAGGAUGAUC